CACGCGCUCGGACGCCGGCCCUGCUCCCGCUCCCUGUGGCCGUGGCAGGUCACUUCCCCUCCCUGGGCCUGCGAAAAGGCAAAGUCAUGUUGCUGCUUUGCUUGGCCUGGCAGUGGUGGAGGUGGCCUCACAGGCAGUGCGGGCGGCGGCCAGCCAGUGGGCCUGCUCCUGGGGCCUGCUUUGGAGUAGCCACUGCACACGCUGCGUGACCCAGGGCGGGUUGCUGCUCCUCUCUGAGCCUCCGUUUCCUCAUCUGCAAACCAAGGCUGAUCACAGCACCCACCUCACAGGGGGCUUGUGAGGAUCAAACAAGUUAACGGAAGUAAAGAGCCUGUCCCACAGCCUGGCCCACAGCCUGGCCCACGGUAUGAGACCACCGCACUCUUCCUGCCGUCAGUGCCAAGGGAGCCACCGGUGCUGGCCACCCCCCGUCCCGGAGACUCAGGCAGAACGUUCCAGGAGGGGUCUAUGGUGGUGUUUGCGGCAAGAUUGGAGACCAGCCGCUGGGGCAGAGCCACUCAUGGGCUCCAGGGCCCCUGGCCACCUGGUCUGACUGCUUGCAAAGGCUGUGGCCCCGCUGGGGACUAGAGGGAAUAUUGGAGGGGAGCAGCUUGGGGCAAAGGCUUCUGGUUUCCAUUCAGCUGGAGUAGUCCUCACUGAGCACCUACUAUGUGCCAGGAGCUUUGGGUUGGCUUAUGUCAUCUCCACAGCUGCCUGUGAGGUAGGUAGCAUUCCUGCCCAUUUUAUAGAUGAGGAAACUGAGACUGGGAGGGGUUAAGUAACCUGAAGUUGCAGAGCUAAGGGGGCAGGGGUGGGACUGGAACCCAGGCCUGGGAAGGAGUUGGUGUUCUUCCUCAUCUCAGUGUCCUGCUCUGCCCUCUGUAAAGGGGAGACAAUGACACCCCCUCCCUAAGUCAGCAGAGUUAUCGGCAGGCCUGACAGAUACCUUUGAACUACAAUGUAUCAGGUGCCAGCCGCAGUGUGUGCCAGGGCUUCUGCACUGGCAUCUUGUGAAGCUCUGGGAAAACCCAUUUUACAGACCAGCAAACUUCAGUUUUCCCUUGCCUGAACGCUGUCACCAACAGACCUGGAUGUGACUCUAUAGGUAAACUGCUUUGUCACCACUUCCACACGCUGCCUCUGCCAAGCCCAGGAAUAAGAAGUCAAGGUGAAAUCUAAGGAAGCGGAGAGCCCAGGGCAUCACUGUCAGUGGUAAAACCAACACCCAAGCUAUCCACGUGGCACCCGUCCAUGAGCCGCCAGAGGGCUACGGUGACAAUGCCCAGCUCCCGGAGGUGACUACUCCGAAAAGAUGGAAACAGAUGUGGGAGAAGGGACGUUACCACCUCCCCACUCUACUUCCCAGCGUGCCCCUCUGGGAGGUGGGGAGCGGAUGUGCAGGUGCCAGAGACGGAGCUGGGCUGGAGGAGAAGGAACAGAGGACGAUGGUGGCCAUGGGGAGUCUCAGCUUGGUGAGGACCGUCUCCCCACCCCAGGGGACCCUCCCAGGAGGCGGCCAGGCGGCCCCAAGCUCUGGGUGACAGCAGGAGUCCCCCGAGGGCUCUGGCCACAGGAGGCCAAGAGGGAGACCACAGCGAGCAGGGACACCGGACCUGCAGACGGGCUCACGCACAGACACAAACGCGCACGCACUCGCACGGCGUGCGCACACGUGGGACUCAGGCGCCCGCUCACACUCUCCGACACACUCUCGCUUGCACCCAUGAGAGUGACCCCAAGCCCUCCUGCAUGGCCCCUCACCCGCCCGGGGCACGAGGCCGGGCCGGCCCGCAUCUUUCCUCCCCCGGUCCCCAGCCCCAGGCUUGGCGGCGUGUCUGCCCCGCUGCCUGGGAGACACAUGUGGUUUCAGUUAGCAGCAGAGCGGGCAUUUCCGUCCCAGACAGCCGGGCCCUGCCAGGGCCCCGGCCCCACAGGCGCCCACAAGCAGGGCCACCUCCACCCCCACUCUCCCGCUGGCCAUCCCGGGGCCCCCGAGGCCCCUGUGCCCUGGAAGACGCCGGUCUCUCUCCCCGAGGUCG